AAAAUGCAAUUGAUACACUGAAGAAUGCAUCAGAUCUCUUAAUAGCAGAAUUGAUCCAGCAGAAGAAAAAAUUAGUGAGAUAGAAGACAGGCUAUUUGCAAAUACACAGGCAGAGAAGACAAAA